CCCGAUAGUAGCUGCUACCUUGACGUGGUGGUCGGACUUGCCUAUCGUGAUGACUCAAACGAGCUAUAUUGGCCAUAACGCAUAUUCCUUUAGGUCUUACCAUACCAAGCAGGUCAGUCGGAGAGCGGUAAGACUAAGAGCAGC
rnacentral:ribozyme from 1 species